rnacentral:lncRNA from 1 species
AUGGUGUCUAACUUUUCCCUUCUGUGUUUUGCUUUUCCACAACACCCUGCUUCCAGUCCCCCCCAGCCCUCUGUUUACACAACUGGGACAAAUUUCACACCCUGGGGACUGCUACCCCUGAGCCCCCAGUCCAACACUCUCCUGCCACAAAGAAUUUGUGAGUCACUGGUGAGGGCAGAGCUAUAUAUAAAGCUAUCCUCACAAAGGACCUGCAGCCUUGGAAGGGACACCGUUGCCAGCAUGGAAGCUGCUGCCUGUUGCCUGCCUCUCCGCCAGCUCCUGUUGCCCACAGCUGGUGCCUGCCCAGCCCCAGGGCUGCAGCAGAGGGGAAGACCCAAGCCACUCUGGAGACCAUGGCUGCCCCAGGAGGAAUACACAACCAGGCGACAGAGGGAACAGAUGGACACUGUGAGUUUUAUUCUUCCUGCUGCUGCCCACUUUUUUUUCCACUGGCAGUGUUGGGGUCACCAGCCUCUGGCCCCAGACUCCUUUAUCCCUUGCAAGGGCUGAGCAGAGGGCACUAUCCCCAAGGGUGCCUGCACCCUGACAUCCUGCCCAAAGCCCACGGGAGGAUGGCUGCAAGAAGGAGUGAGCAGGGGGUCCUUUGGGUACCCACAUUCCCCAGCAUCUCCUCUCCACUCCCCAAGCCUACAGCCUGCUGAGGCAGUGCCAACUGCAGCAAACACAGCUGCUCUGUGGGGUCUGAAAGGGAUGCCUGUUCCCGGCCUGGCGGGCAUUCCUCAGGGGGUUAGCAGGACGCGUGGGCACAGUGGGGGAGAUUACUCUGGCAAAAAGCCCUUGUGUGGAGUUUAGAUGCCAGCUUCCUUUGCGUGAGCGCAGGGAACUGAAUCCAUUCAGCAGAGGAGCGGGGAAAAUCAGGUUGCAGUCUGGCCCCAUAGACACACUGCUCAGGGGCUGCGAGGUGGUGUGUAAACCUUUGAUGUUAGGAAGAAGAGGUCUGUGUCACUGCCAUCACGGCAGGAGCAGGGGCAGAGGGACAUGGGGCAGGUCCUAGCCCGACUCUGUUCCCACAGGCUCAGCCUCUCGAUGCUUCAGGAGACCACAGCAGCGACAAAGCGCUAGCACUGUUCCGCCACCCGGUCAG